rnacentral:rRNA from 1 species
AUUGAACGCUGGCGGCAGGCCUAACACAUGCAAGUCGAACGAGUGGCGGACGGGUGAGUAAUGUCUGGGAAACUUCCUGAUGGAGGGGGAUAAAUACUGGAAACGGUAGCUAAUACCGCAUACCAUCAGAUGUGCCCAGAUGGGAUUAGCUAGUUGGUGGGGUAACGGCUCACCAAGGCGACGAUCCCUAGCUGGUCUGGGAGGAUGAACAGCCAAACUGGAACUGAGACACGGGCCAGCCUCCUACGGGAGGCAGCAUUGGGGAAUAUUGAACAAUGGGCGCAAGCCUGAUGCAGCCAUGCCGCGUGUAUGAAGAAGGCCUUCGGGUUGUAAAGUACUUUCAGCGGGGAGGCGUUACCCGCAGAAGAAGCACCGGCUAACUCCGUGCCAGCAGCCGCGGUAAUUC